CCUACGGGAGGCUGCAGUGAGGAAUAUUGGUCAAUGGGCGGAAGCCUGAACCAGCCAAGUAGCGUGCGGGAUGAAGGCCCUACGGGUCGUAAACCGCUUUUGCACGGGGAUAACACCCUCCACUUGUGGAGGUCUGCAGGUACCGGACGAAUAAGCGCCGGCUAAAUCCGUGCCAGCAGCCGCGGUAAUACGGAAGGCGCGAGCGUUAUCCGGAUUUAUUGGGGUUAAAGGGGGCGCAGGCGGGCGGUGCAAGUCAGCGGUAAAAUUGCGGGGCGCAACCGCGCCGGGCAGUUGACACGGGACGCCUUGAGUGCACAACAGGCAGGCGGAAUUCGUGGUGUAGCGGUGAAAUGCAUAGAUAUCACGAGGAACCCCGAUUGCGAAGGCAGCCUGCCGGGGUGCGACUGACGCUGAGGCACGAAGGUGCGGGUAUCAAACAGGAUUAGAUACCCCUGUAGUC
rnacentral:rRNA from 1 species